rnacentral:rRNA from 1 species
GACGAACGCUGGCGGCGUGCCUAAUACAUGCAAGUCGAACGCAGUGGGGACGGGUGAGUAACACGUGGGUAACCUCCCAUCAGAGGGGAUAACCCUUGGAAAAAGGUGCAAACCCCAAAUUGUCGGAUGGACCCCGGGUGCUUUAGCUAGUCGGUGGGGUAACGGCUCACCAAGGCCACGAUGCAUAGCCGACCUGAGAGGGUGAUCGGCCACACUGGGACUGAGACACGGCCCAGACUCCUACGGGAGGCAGCAGUAGGGAAUCUUCGGCAAUGGACGAAAGUCUGACCGAGCAACGCCGCGUGAGUGAAGAAGGUUUUCGGAUCGUAAAGCUCUGUUGUUAGAGAAGCGGUAUCUAACCAGAAAGCCACGGCUAACUCCGUGCCAGCAGCCGCGGUAAUUC